rnacentral:rRNA from 1 species
AGUGAACGCUGGCGGCGUGCCUAAUACAUGCAAGUCGAACGAAGUGGCGCACGGGUGAGUAAUAUAUAGCUAAUCUGCCCCUUGCUGGAGGACAACAGUUAGAAAUGACUGCUAAUACUCCAUAGCAAGGGAUGAGACUAUAUCGUAUCAGCUAGUCGGUGGGGUAACGGCCUACCGAGGCUAUGACGCGUAACUGGUCUGAGAGGAUGAUCAGUCACGUUGGAACUGAGACACGGUCCAAACUCCUACGGGAGGCAGCAGUAGGGAAUAUUGCGCAAUGGGGGAAACCCUGACGCAGCAACGCCGCGUGGAGGAUGACACUUUUCGGAGCGUAAACUCCUUUUGUUAGGGAAGCGGUACCUAACGAAUAAGCACCGGCUAUCUCCGUGCCAGCAGCCGCGGUAAUAC